UACGGAAGGCAGCAGUGGGGAAUAUUGCACAAUGGGCGCAAGCCCGAUGCAGCCAUGCCGCGUGUAUGAAAAAGGCCUUCGGGUUUGUAAAGUACUUUUCAGUCGUGAGGAAGGUGUUAAGGUUAAUAACCUUAGCAAUUGACGUUAGCGACAGAAGAAGCACCGGCUAACUCCGUGCCAGCAGCCGCGGUAAUACGGAGGGUGCGAGCGUUAAUCGGAAUUACUGGGCGUAAAGGGCACGCAGGCGGUUAAUUAAGUUGGAUGUGAAAUCCCCCGGGCUUAACCUGGGAAUGGCAUUCAAGACUGGUUAGCUAGAGUCUUGUAGAGGGGGGUAGAAUUCCAUGUGUAGCGGUGAAAUGCGUAGAGAUGUGGAGGAAUACCGGUGGCGAAGGCGGCCCCCUGGACAAAGACUGACGCUCAUGUGCGAAAGCGUGGGGAGCAAACAGGGAUUAGAUACC
rnacentral:rRNA from 1 species